UGGGGAAUUUUGCACAAUGGGGGAAACCCUGAUGCAGCGACGCCGCGUGAUUUAGAAGGCCUUCGGGUUGUAAAAAUCUUUUCUAUGGGAAGAAAAUGACAGUACCAUAGGAAUAAGGACCGGCUAAUUACGUGCCAGCAGCCGCGGUAAUACGUAAGGUCCGAGCGUUGUCCGGAAUCAUUGGGCGUAAAGGGUACGUAGGCGGGUAAGCAAGUUAGAAGUGAAAUCCUAUAGCUCAACUAUAGUAAGCUUUUAAAACUGCUCAUCUUGAGGUAUGGAAGGGAAAGUGGAAUUCCUAGUGUAGCGGUGAAAUGCCCAGAUAUUAGGAGGAAUACCGGUGGCGAAGGCGACUUUCUGGCCAUAACCUGACGCUGAGGUACGAAAGCGUGGGUAGCAAACAGG
rnacentral:rRNA from 1 species